AGUGAACGCUGGCGGCGUGCCUAACACAUGCAAGUCGAACGCGAAAGUCCCGCAAGGGAUGAGUAGAGUGGCAGACGGGUGAGUAAUGCAUAGGUAAUCUACCCUUGAGUGGGGGAUAACUCCGGGAAACCGGUGCUAAUCCCGCAUAACUUCCUGAUGCGUAAGUAUUGGGAUCAAAGGGGGGAGUCCUUCGGGACCGUCUCGCUUAAGGAUGAGCCUAUGUCCUAUUAGCUAGUUGGUGAGGUAAUGGCCCACCAAGGCUUUGAUGGGUAGCCGAGCUGAGAGGCUGAUCGGCCACACUGGAACUGAAACACGGUCCAGACUCCUACGGGUGGCAG
rnacentral:rRNA from 1 species